CAGGUACUAAUAAGUGGCACUUUUAAUUUGUGGCAUCAAUUUACAUCACUGAGUCUGUCCCCCACUUCUUCCCCACCCCACCCCUACUGAUUUUCAUGUUUCUUUGUAGGUGGUUUUGCUGGAGAGCUGAAUUCUGUAUAACCUUUUACUCCACUUCUGUGUUAUCCCAAGAUACAGCUUCUUUUCUUCACUGUUUAAAAUAGACAUUUUAAACAUCAUCAACUCCCCUUGAUAAAGCUGCCAUUUAUGUUCAGAUCUUGAUUUUCUAGUUCUAAUAAUUCCAUUCCAGGCUACCUGUGAGCCUGGCAUAGAGUAUGCAAUCAGCAAAUAUUUGCUUAAUGAAUAAGUGAGUGGAUGAGAGGUAGACUGGGACUCACAGAGAUUUCAAAAGAAAGAAAUAAUACACAAAGCAUGUUAAUUAACAAGGGGAAAAAUUAAGAAAUGAAUCUUAUAAAAAUUUUCAGUAAGUGGUCUUUACGAAUGAGAAUUUUCUUUCAGAGUUAAGGAAAAUACAUAUAUUUUGUGGCCCACAACUUUAUUGGUGGCUAGCUGCAUGUUAAAAUUCAAUGUAAUUUAUCCUGAUUAUACUUACUGAAAGUAUAAUGCAACAUACAACACUUAAAACUUUCUGGCAUAAUUACUAAAAUUAGAAACAAAGGGCUUUUGACAGUGUGUGUGAUAUUUUGGAAAUGGACUCUCCCUCCACCUGGGCAUUUUCAUGUAGUUUGGCCAUUUUUCAUUCUUGUCACCUAGUGGAGGAUGGGUAUAAUGUUUCAGUCUCCCAUCAGGCAUACUGGGUAAGAUUUUAGCAAAGAGAAGUAUUAAUGAAAUAUUUUUAUCUUUUACAUGAUAAAUUUAGCCAAUAGUUUCUUAUAUCAAUAAUCCUAGGUAAGUAACAAUUUGAUAGACAGGUAAAAUUUAUCUUAAAGACUCUAGAGCGAUUGCUAGAAUAAUUCAUUCUAUAUAUAAUAUAUAUUUUCUUUAAAAAUUUGAAUGAUUUUAAUUGCUGCUCUCUUUGAAUGUUUCUGCCCUUUUAUCAUUUUUUCAACAUUUGCAUUGGAUCAUUUGAAAGGAAUAGGGUAAGACUUUUGAGUUUCAGUAUCUCUUAAAAGAAUAAUCUUUGCUAAUUCGGCAGAUACUUUGUAAGCAUUUCUCUUAAUUCAUGCAUUAUAAAAAUUCUUGGAAGGUCAGUUUAGCUCAUCUGUUGAGUUUCCUAAUACAAGAAUGUUGCUGAUUUUCUAAACAGAUUAAAGACUCUCACAGGGUCAGUCAAGCACUUUGGAAGCAUGGUACAGGAUGGUGUAGCCACGUUCUCAACAUGGGGUCAAGGGGACCAACAGUGUCUGCCUCACCAGAGAAUUUGUUGGAAAUACAAAUUCUCUGCCCCCUCCCAAGCCUACUGAGUCAGAAACUCUGUGGGUAGACCCAGUAACGUGUGUUUGAACAAGCCCUCAGAGGAUUCUUAAGCAUAUUCAAGUGGAGAACCACUUUUGUAAAUUAUAUUUUUUGUGUCCUUUUAUAUUCUAUAGAUAAUGCCCCUUUUUGGUCAUAAAUAAGCCAGGUUAGGUCCUAAAAGUAUGGAAAUCAAUAUUGUUCAUUUAAUCUUAUUUUUUCUUUUUAUUUUUGUGGACUUGUGUAGAGAAAUAUGAUUUAUUUUAAAUGAUGUAUUUUUAAAAAUACUUGAGAGAUUACAAAUUAUGUAUUUGUUUAAUUAUGCCUUGGUUUCUGACAGUGUAUUCAGAUGCCCACACAGCUAAGUUGACUGAGAAUCAAGGGAGGGUGCUUUUCGACUUGAAUUCUGGUUUGUUGGUUUGUUCUGAUAGUUACUUGUAAACAAAUGAGUAGAAUAUUUAGGUAGACUUCAAUUUCACAGUAAUAUCAGUUAGUCUUGGAAGUUUGGAUAUACAAAGAUUUUCUUUUAUUUUUCUCUGUUCAACAUAAAUAAGCAUUCAAUGUAAUUAAAAAAUGUUUCAUUGGUAAUGCCUUGAGAAGAUUUAUUUCUGAUGUCUCCCAUAUCUUCUGUUGUUCUCUUUUGUGCUUGGUAGGCCUUCAGUAAGUGUAGUCUGACACGCUUUGUGGCCUCUGCCUCCUGUGAUAAAAUAGAUUGAAAUGAUUCCUGGCACCAUCUGGUGAAGAGGAGCAGCCCUGGAGGACUGUGCUUUGAGAGAAAGUGACUGAAUGCUAAGAAAUGUGGAAGUCUAGGGACACAGGCAAAGGAUUUUUUUUUUUUUUUAAAGAGCAUGAACAUUAAUACAUCUUCUUGAGGUUUGAUGGGACAUGUACUGCCUACUGCCCCAUCUGGUGCUUAUGAUAGCAUGGCAUAUUAGCAUGCUGCAAGUUCAUAAUGUAUUCAGGGGGAGGAAACAUCCCUUGCAUACCAAUUGAGGCAUCCUCUCUUUCAGAACUGCUUUUGAAUUUCAAUGAUGUUUAUAUCUUCCAAGCCGCGUCUGAACUGAGCAUUUCCGCUCUGAGGAAUAACUUGAGAGAGAGAGAGAGAGAGUGAGAGAGAGAGAGAGAGAGAGUGUGUGUGUGUGUGUGAGAGAGAGAGUGUGUGUAUGUGAGAGAGAGAGAGCAUGUGCAAGAGAGAAUGUAUGUGUAUGUAUUCUCUCCAUUAAUUUAUCUUCCUCUCUUUUUUGUGAUGAAAUUAAGUAGUUUUUAAUAUUAUGUUGGUAUAUAAUUUUUAAAUUUUUUUUCUUAUUUGAAACCAUGUACUACUUUGUUAUUUCACGUACGGCACUUAAAACAUUUUGCCUUGUGGAAUCAUUUGUAUGGUUGUCCUCCUAUAGAUUGAACACUUUUCGAGGGUUGGGCUGGUACCUAAUUAUGUUUGUGUCUCCAUGGCACCUAGAGUUCAGUCAUCCAUUUAACAAAUAUUUAUUUAUUGAGCUCACACUAUGGGUCUGACACUGUUAUAGAUGCUGAGGAAUCAAUAGUGAGCAAGACUGGAUGCCGCAAAUACAGAGACUUAGGUAGUAUUUGUGUUCCACUAGAAAGAGAGGGAAAGAAAAACCAGCUGAUCAGUGAGUUAAGCUGGUACAAGUUACACUAGUAUCCAUGAACAUAUUAAAAGUCAAAUGUGUGAUACAAAUCAUUCUUUUCUUUCAAGGUGGUGACAGUCUGAAAUGAUACAUGAGUCGGCAGGUAGGGGUGAAAUAUCUGUGUUCUUUAGGAGAGCACAGGCCAUGGGGUAGGCUUCCUAUGUAAUACAGGCAUGUUCAGUUUAAAUUAUUUGAGUAAUUUCCUUGGACCCACUUAAAUUUUCUGACCUCCAUGAAGUUGCUGCACCGUCUAAAAGUACCUGAAAAAAAUAAAAUCUACUGAACUUAAGUGGCUAUAUAGGUAUCCUCUCAAAGUAUAACUUUUGAGUUUUAGUGGCUGCACAAUAAACAGGAUUCAAUUCAAUAUAAAAAUAUUUGAGUACUGAUUCUGGGAACGACUUUCUACUAAGCGUAGCAGGGGUUUUAAAGAGAGGAAGACACAGUCCUGGCACUUAAGGAACUUAAGUGUAGUAGGGGAUAUAGAAGGAGAUUGAAGGAUUGAGAGGCAGAAAAGUGGAGACUGAUUAGGGAGAAAUUACAAGAGGUAGCGCAGGUUCCAAAUCAACAUGAGAGGAUUUUGAAAGCAUUGAGUUGAAGUCCAUGAUUGAAAUUCAUUGAAUGAGUGUCAUUAUUUGGGAGAAAAGGUGAGAGUGGAAUCAAGGGUACUGUUUGAAUUUUGAGCCUGCGUAAUUGGCAGAGUGGUCUUGCCUCAGUGGAAAUAAGAAAGCAGGAAGAACUCGUUUUGCAGAAAGAAUAAUCUCACUGAUAGGUUGAAUUGGAGACUCUUACAAUAGUAGGAUCCAUCUUGCCUACAGUUGGGAAUGUAUCAUGGUAGUUUGGGUGAGGAAUUGAGUCCUGAGAUAUAAACUAAAGUGGAAAAAAUUGUACAUUUAUGUGAUGGAUAGACAAUUUUGAG
rnacentral:lncRNA from 1 species